UCCCUAGUAGCUCAAUGGUGGAGCAAUCGGCUGUUAACCGAAAGGUUGUAGGUUCAAAUCCUACCUGGGGAG
rnacentral:tRNA from 1 species